rnacentral:rRNA from 1 species
CACGAAGCAAUUUGAGCUAAUUUAAUACAUAUAUUAGGAUUAUAGUAUGUUGCAUAAUAUAUAAUGAUUUUAAAUUAGGAGUGAUAUUCUUUCCACAAUUUGCGAUAUCUUGAUGUAUCUAACAAGUAUUUAGUACAAUUACAAUUAAUAAGCGCUUAGGUUUAUUAAAAAUAUUAAUAGUUAUAAUAUUUAUCUGUUUUAUUUAAUAAUUAACAUGUCUAUUUUCUUAAUAUUAUUAUAUAUUAUUUAUAAUUAUUAGGAUACAACAUUAAUUCAUAUAAUUGUAAUUUAAUGUUAUUAUUAGUAAUAAAUAGAUAUUUAUAAUGAACUUGGCAAUUCAUCUUUCAACUGUUUAUCAAAAACAUAGUUAUUAGAAAUUAUUAAUAAUGUGUUCUGCUCAAUGAAUAAUUAAAUAGCCGCAGUACCCUGACUGUGCAAAGGUAGCAUAAUCAUUUGGCUUAUAAUUGAAGUCUUGUAUGAAUGAAACGAUGGGGGAUAACUAUAUCAUAAAUAUAAAUUAAACUUACUUAUAAAGUGCAAAUACUUUAAUUUAAAUAAUAGACGAGAAGACCCUUGAAAUUUUAAGAAUAUGAAUUAGAAGGUUUUUGUUGGGGCAACAAUGUAACAAGUAAUUUACAUUUGAACAUGAAAUUAAAUAGAUUGAAUAAAUUACUCUAGGGAUAACAGCGUAAUAUAUGAAUGUUUGCGACCUCGAUGUUGGAUUAGGAAACAAAAACUUAG